rnacentral:rRNA from 1 species
UACGGAGGGAGCUAGCGUUGUUCGGAAUUACUGGGCGUAAAGCGCGCGUAGGCGGCUGUUCAAGUCAGAGGUGAAAGCCCGGGGCUCAACCCCGGAACUGCCUUUGAAACUAGACAGCUGGAAUCUUGGAGAGGCGAGUGGAAUUCCGAGUGUAGAGGUGAAAUUCGUAGAUAUUCGGAAGAACACCAGUGGCGAAGGCGACUCGCUGGACAAGUAUUGACGCUGAGGUGCGAAAGCGUGGGGAGCAAACAGG